GAAAAGAGCAUUGACACAUAUCCCCCACCCAAAGUGUAUAAGACAGUUCCACUAAACAUGGACAUGGAAAUACAUAACACCUGAAAGCAGCAUUUUGUUGACAGUGAAUGCUAAGCAACUUUGUAGCCAGAGUUUCUUUUUGUGCUUUCAGAUAAACUGUGCUGUGUCUUCCAGGUAAACUGCAGCUUCCAACAGGUGCAUUCCAGCAUGAUGGAGUCAGUUCUGCUCCCAUGGGCGUCACUCCAUCUUGUGAAGCAAUGCUUCACUUCAAAAUUCCCCUGCAUAGGAUCUGACACAGGGAUCUUGGAACCAGCAUGAGAAGGAGGCUUCCCUCAUGCCAUGAAUGCAGUUGCUGCCAUGGAGCUUUCACCCAGGUCUCUUCUUCAUGUGAAUGCUGUGUUGCAUAGCAGCCUUGAUCCCUUGCAUUCCAAAGACUUCUCUGCAGUCUGUCUCCUACAGCAUCCUAUGGCCUUUUGGGGGCUGUAGGAGUAGUAAAAGCUGCCAGCAAGCUGUGCUGGUUAUAAUUUAUGCUAAUAGGCAAAUUUAGAGCUUUCCUAGGAAUUGCUUCACAGCUAGCCAUCUGAUUAUCAUUCUGGACUUAUGUUGUGGCAUUUUCAAAACAUGUUCCAAACUUGGAGCCAGGUAGCAUUAUGCUGACCAUUCCACGGCAAAUGGCAUGGUUUGCAAGCGCAGGCCAAUGGCCGAAAAUCAAGUAAAAUUUAACAUGUAAUCAAAGCAAUAUGAGAACUGUUUGCAGUGCAGUGCCACUUCUUGUUAAAUCUGCCUCAAGGGUCAUUGUGAGACUUAACUACUGUUUGUAAAGCACUUUGCAAUCCCCCUGCGGAAGGUAAUACAGAAAGACAGUGAAAAGCGUCUGCACACACAAAAGUACUACAUAUAGAGAAAUAAUGAAGUGUUUCUCAUUUAACUUCUGUUUGCUUUUUUCCUUUGUGUGAGCCUCUCUGAGGAACUCAUAAGUUACAUUCCUUUUCAUGUCAUUUUCUGUUAUCUUCUGUGUAUUAAAAUAGUGUCUAUGUGCUCUUGUAUAUAACCCCAGCUGCUAAUGUGGUUCAUAAUAUCAUCAAGUUGAACUGAUGGUUCAUAAUGUGAGGUGUCUGUCUAUAACCCAGUCAGCAUAUUUUACUAAAUUCUCAAGAAUUCACAUGGAAAAGCAUGGAAAUCUAGAAGCUUAAAUUUGUGAAAACCUUGGUUUUUAAAAUCUCUAAUAGAUGCAGAGGGGAUUUGAGCGCAUGGCUUCAGUAUAAAGAAGCAAUAAAAACGUUCAAUGAAACAUUUUAGUGUCCCAGUCAUUUAUUGUGCCUUGAGUUUUCAUAAGCAUUGGGAUACUGAAAAGAUGAUGCAUGCUAGAGGCAUUGUUAGGUACUUAAAGGACUUGGGCCACAGCACUAUGAUGCAAACUUGCACAAAAUGUAUGUACAGUAGUACCUCAGGUUACAUACGCUUCAGGUUACAGACUCCGCUAACCCAGAAAUAGUACCUCGGAUUAAGAACUUUGCUUCAGGAUGAGAACAGAAAUCACGUGGCGGCGGUGUGGCAGCAGUGGGAGGCCCCAUUAGCUAAACACACACAGAAAAUGGUGCCUAGACAUUCCGUUGUGGCGAUCACAACCUAGGUUUAAGGUUCAAUUUGGUGAAUAGCUUACAUACCUGAGCUUCUCCAGGUAGGGCUGGGAGAGAAUCCUCUCUUGAAACCCGGAGAGCUGCUGCCAGUCAGAAGUAGCUGGGUCAAUGGUCUGACUCAGUAUAAAACAGUUUCCUGCCAUCUGCCUAACCCAACUCCCAUGGUUCUUUUGCAUUUGCUCUUACUGGGAUACAAGAUGCUACCCUCCUAAGGCUGGCAGGCAAUAUAGGUUCUUCUUCUGAUGUGGCUACUGCCCACUUUGGUAGGCCUUCUUUUCCCCUCAAGACCUUGCAGAAGUUUGAAAGCAGACAAUAUUUCUUAACUAAACAGGCAGGCACCCAAAAAUGUAAUCCUGCAUCAGAGAAUUUACAAACCAGUCAAAACAACAUAAUCCACCCCGUUUAACAUGUGUGAAGGAACACAGACUUUUGGACAGCACAUGCAAGAACAGUGAUACUGAUGAACCAAGCAGUGCCUUUCAUUCAUUUGCCAUCAAAGAUAGAGGGGAGGUUCUUGUAUAUUAUAGUGAGGCAAUGAUCUUUGACCCACUGACUCGAAUGCCUGCAAUUUCAUCCCAAGUACCUGAGGAAAUUUGGGGUUACGUUGGUUCCCACCCACCCCUUCCGCUUCUGCACUUUCAGUUCCCAGGCACAAUAUAUGCCUAGAUAAAUCCUGUAAUGGCAGUGUCCAUAAGCACAGGUGUUGACUCUGCUUUUUCCAAGCAAAAUUAGAAGUGCUGAUGCCUCAUAGGCGAAAGGUUGCUCUGUAGAGAUCAGCAGCAGCAGCUCGCUUUGCAUAGAUGUUUCAGAUCAAACACCUUUUGAGGUUUUCCCCUUCAUUACUGCUUCUUAUCUCCUCAUUCUCAGGGGCAGAGGGAUUUGAAUAUGAGCAAGUUCCCACUAGUUUCUCAGGGGUAUGAGUUCAUUAGAGUGUGGAAUACAUACGCUAGACUUAAUAGUGGAGUGAGAGAAUGGGAUGAAGUGCAUUGGGGGGGGGCGGGGGAGGAAACAGUGGGAUCUUUUGCUGUUACUGGCUCUGUCCACAGCACUCCAAUCUUGGAAAACAGAUAAUUUUGCUCUCCUCUGGAACUUCCACUGAUGCCAAACUCAAGAGAGCUGCCAGCCUCUCUGAGAUUACCACCAGUCCAACGAUACAGAUUUGCUGGUGUACACUCCGCUCAAACUCUCCUUCUUCAAUGAAAGUCCUCUAUUUAAAUUAUACAAAGGUUAUUUGCUUGGAGGUCGUGUUUAUUCAUUUGUUUGUUCUACAGCUACUACAGAGUUUUUCCAUGAAGGGGAAUAACAAUCCAAAUUAAUGAGAUGGUUGGAGUAGAUGCAACUUUCGUUGGCUCUCUCUUUGCAAUCUGAAUGAAUGUUCAUUUGUUUUAUUUACUUACUUAGAUACUUCUAUAGUACCCUUCACCAUAUGGGCACAGAGUGAUGUACAGUCGUACAUUGGAAGUCAAACAGAACCCGUUCUGGAAGUCCAUUCGACUUCCAAAAUGUUCGAAAACCAAAGUGCGGUUUCUGAUUGGCUGCAGGAAGCUCCUGCAACCAAUUGGAAGCUGCAGAAGCCCCGUCGGAUGUUCAGCUUCCAAAAGAACAUUCGAAAACCAGAAUACUCACUUCCUGGUUUCAAUCAUUUCGGAGACGAUUUAUUUGGGAGCCAAGGCGUUCAAGAUCCAAGGUAUGACUGUACUACAUAUUAAAGUGCAUCAAUACAUAUUGUAAAACCAAGUCAAUCAAUACAUAGUGAACACAACACUAAUGAAAACAACAGCAACAGAAUAAUGGGUACAGUACAAAACUGACCUCAAACAAAUCAUACCUUCUCACCUCCAAAAGUGAAUGAGGUGAGUUUUUACCUAACCCAUAAAAGAUUCUAACAUAGAGGAGAGAUGUACCUCAGUGGGUUGAUUGCUCUGCCCCCAGCUAUAUUAUUUCUCAUUUUCCUUAGAAUGAUUAACAAACAAACAAAUACUUGACUCACUUCAAACUAACAGUGCAAUCCGACACAUGCCUAUGCAGCAGUAAGUCCAAUUGAAUGGGACUUAAGAAACGUUCUGAUGCAACUUGUCCACCAUUCAGGCCAAGGCUGUGGGCAAAUGACUGUGUUGUUAUGGACACUGCCAAUACAGGUUUCAUCUUGGCCAGUACUGCUGGUAAAAUUGAGUUGGGGAGAGACCAAGCUAACUCUGCACUUCCUCAAAUGCUUGGGGUGAAAUCGCAAACAAUGGAAGCAGUGGGUCAAACCUGGGUCUGAUAGAUGGGCUUUCUCCAAGUCUUAAAUUGGAUGUCUUUACAUUAUUUUUAGAGGGUUGGAUAUGCGUCAGGGGAAAGCGUUGUGGGAUUGUGGUCCAUAUCAGAAAGGGAUAUGUUCCACUUAACCCCUUUAACUUUAUGCCCUUUGGUAGGUGGGUUUGGGGAGAUAUUAGUACUUAGUCUUCCAAAACUCCUAAAACCAUUUAUAGUGUUCAAAUGUCAGAGUGGAGAGAGACUGCCUCGGUUUAAUGUAUUUAUUUGGCUACUUUUAACUUCCUUUGGUAUAAGGCCAGCAGGAAUCAAAUAUAAUAGUUGUAAAUAGUCUGACAGCUAAGGAUAGAUAGAUUCACAGCACUGUGAAUCUCAAAACUGUGUAAAUGUAAGUAUAGUGGCUGUCCUACCAAACACUAUCAAUCUUUGCCUAUGGACCACAGGAAAGGAGUCCCAGGUUCUGGUUUUUUUUUGGGGGGGGUGUUAAGAGAGAAAUACAUUCCUGCACACACAUUCCUUCAACAUAUUAUUCAUUGGCUAUUCUUGCUGAGAUGUUCUUUGGGGCUAUGCAAGCCCUGAAGCUUAGUAUAAUAAAAAAGAAUCAAAGGCAAUAUUUCUGUUCCUGCAAAUACUACACAGAGGAUGGCUCAACAUUUAGCGGAGCUGACCCUAUUAGAGCAGCCAAAGUGCUGCCAAACGUGCCUCUGUGAUCAUCCUUUUUGAAAGGAUAUAAAAUUAUUCAUCUUUUUUCAGGGAGAAUAAAUGAUCUCUGAGCCAAUCCACGUAGAGCAGAAAUAUGCUAGAAAGGGGAAUCAGCUUUAUAUAAAUGCUGCCCGUUCCUUUUAAAAAUAAUGGAGGGAAAGGGAAUGAGGGGUUAGUUUUACACACACACACACACUGCACCCCAUUCCUUUUCUUUUCGUUACAUAUUUACCAUCAAAGCAGAAUGUUUACAUUUUGGAGAUUUGUUGCUGUUGUCAAAAUCUAGUUUUUAUAAUGUCAUAAACUAGCUUUCUUUCUUUCUUUCUUUCUUUCUUUCUUUCUUUCUUUCUUUCUUUCUUUCUUGUCCAAUCACCAAGUCAUUUUGUGAAGAGUGCCAUAAUCUGGGGGCCAUCUUGAGAUGCAAUCCUGUUCCCUGUCUUGUGAUCUGCAUGUCAAGGUGAAACUGCAAGAAUAUGAUAAUGUUGCUAUCCCCAGAAGGCGGGCGGUAAAAGAUACUAAUUGCAUUUCACUGAAGGCUUCAGAAACAGUCAGCAGCUGGAAAGCUGAGAAGAAUUUUGAUGCUAUUCCUAUAAAGGAAGAUCCAUCUCCUCCCUCCAACACACCUUAUUCUGUUUGUAAAUCUAUUAUAGAACAUGGGAAAUGAAGAGGGGGGAGAGAAAGCAUAAAACCAGCUAAAGACUUUAUGAUUUCCAUUAUAUUUUGUGAGCUGUAGGUGGUCAGGAGAUUAUACAGAAAUAUCCCCUUGUUAUCAGCAAUAAUAAUUCAGUGGUUUUAUUUAUCACCAUUUUCUUUGCACAAAUAUCAUAGCACCCCUAUACUGGGGCACCAUACAGAAAAUGAAAUAUAUAUGCAGUAAACUUCCAGAAUAAAAGAGCAAAGAGGGACUAGGAGUGCUUGCAUGGAAUUGCUACACUUUGUUCACUCACUUUUUACAGGGCAUCCACAUGAUGUGGUCGUCCAGUCAUUGCUGUCCUGUUUUUCCUGUGGGUUUUCCCCAUUAGAAUGUGGUAAGCAUGACUUCUUUCAGCAGAAUGGAAGGCUAGCGCAGUCUCCAUAGGUGUAGAUGCUUCUCUUAGUGUUUUGUAAAGGGGGAGGUUUUGACAUGGGCACUGUAUGCAUGGGGAGCAUAGAAUCCAACUCCUGGGGGCUGAGGUCCCUUUAGCUUGCCCAAUGAAAUAUUUGAGGGGGCCAAGCCAGCGCCCUCCAAAGUUAAUGGGCAUUGCCAUUUAAAUGGAGUGCAUGUGACAUGCCUUGUGAUCAAUUAUGUUGGGUUGGGGCUUACCUGGGCCCCCCAAUAUUUUAUGCAAGUUGAGGUGGGUACCAUUUUUGUGAGAGGUUUUAAUUCUUGCCAAAAUGUUUUCCCCAGCAAACUUUUUUUAAAAAUGAUAGAGAGUAAGAGAGAGAGAAUUGUAACACCAUAAAGCUGUAGCAUUAUAUUAGUGAUAAUUAAGUUUUUUAAAAUAAUAAUAAUUAAUGGCCCCACCCACAGCAGCUAAGGCAUGCACACUAGUGUGUUGACAGAGCAUAAUGAGACGUAAGCACACAAAAAGUGCAAUACUUCCAAGAGUGUGGAAAGUCAAUUGCAAUCUGCUUCUAGCUUAUAAAAGAAGAUGCAGUUGUAAAUUCCAGGGAAUGGUUGCACUUGCUUCUUUGGUAGUUUAUUUCCUUUUUUUAAAAAAUGAUAUUUAUUGAAAUUUUUUUUAGAAUUACAAACGAAAACAAGGUAG